rnacentral:rRNA from 1 species
GACGAACGCUGGCGGCGUGCCUAAUACAUGCAAGUAGAACGCUGAAGAGAGGAGCUUGCUCUUCUUGGAUGAGUUGCGAACGGGUGAGUAACGCGUAGGUAACCUGCCUUGUAGCGGGGGAUAACUAUUGGAAACGAUAGCUAAUACCGCAUAACAAUGGAUGACACAUGUCAUUUAUUUGAAAGGGGCAAUUGCUCCACUACAAGAUGGACCUGCGUUGUAUUAGCUAGUAGGUGAGGUAACGGCUCACCUAGGCGACGAUACAUAGCCGACCUGAGAGGGUGAGCGGCCACACUGGGACUGAGACACGGCCCAGACUCCUACGGGAGGCAGCAGUAGGGAAUCUUCGGCAAUGGGGGCAAACCUGACCGAGCAACGCCGCGGGAGUGAAGAAGGGUUUCGGAUCGUAAAGCUCGGUUGUAAGUCAAGAAAGAGGGUGAGAGUGGAAAGUUCACACUGUGACGGUAGCUUACCAGAAAGGGACGGCUAACUACGUG